GGGUAGGGAAAAAAAAACAAACAGCUACAACUUCUGCUUCAGUUUCACCAAAGCAAAUUUAACAGAUGAAGCAUGAAUUUUAUAUUCCAGCUUGAAAACCAUUGUCACGAAUGGCUGUCAGCAGAGAGGAAAACAAGUGAGAGAAUGAAAUAUAUGGGGAAAGAACAAAAACUGAGGAUGUCAGACAAAGCCAAGACACAGAUUGGAGUCAGCUGAUGAUUAAUAAACCCAAACUUUGAUGUCUGAAUGCACUUAAAGAUUGUCUUCUAGUCAAGAGCAGUGCAACAGGUGCAGUUGAUUGAAUCUGGAGAAUAACACAGCUGACCUAAAUUGACAUGCUAUUGCCUAAAGAGAUGGGUCUACUGCCCUUUAGAUGCCCUAGGUUGAGAGGGAAAUAACAAGGGGUCUACUGGUUCUGUAACAGGAUGUGAAAAGAAUAUUUGCCUUGAUAGACAAAACUCUUUGCAUCAGCAUAAAAAUAUUUCAAGAACCAAUAAAGAUUUCUUCUCUUUUCUCAAAACAUCAUUACAGA